ACACUGCCCCCAUUAAUCUUUCUUUUUGAAUAUUCUUGCGGGCUUAAUGGUGUCAUAUGCUAUGGAUUUAUUGCUGCCACUGUAAGAUCUAUACAUAUGGUAAACCUGGUUAAUUUAGGAUGUUGUGCAUUUUAUGGUGUUGUUUGCAUUUUCUCUUCUCAUUUGUUCUGGUUUUUAUGUAUAUCUUAUUUUGGUUGUAUAACUCUUCGAGUUGUGCAUUUUUUUGUCCUCUGGUCUUUAUUUGUUUUACUCAGUGGGAAGCCCCAGAAAUUAGAUUCCUAUUUUCAGCACUAUAAGUAUAUUUUUUAUUGAAUUUAUGUGACCAAAUGAAUUUCUCUCUGUACUAAAGCUGAGUAGAGGCUAAAAAUGGUUAGAAUGAUUCAGAAACAAUGUAGUUUGUACUGAUAUAUACCUCUGUGGUGUUGUUAUCUCCAAAAAAUGACUCCGUAGAUAAAUGUAUAUCAUACCCAUUUUAUAGGUAGCUAUGUAUAUCUAAAGAUAAACUGCUAUCCGAAACAAUUUAGUUUGGUUCUAUCUUCUCUCAGGCAAGCCAAAUUAUGCUCUUUGAAUUGUAAGCCAUGAUUACUGAAUCCAGCUAAUUAUGUAUACCUGAUAUUUGGCUGCUAGACUAUCAUCAGUCAUAUAUGUGUUUAUCCGCAAACCAAAAAUCUGCUGCUCAUUGUUGAUCAAGUUAUUAAGGGGAGAGCAAGGAUGUACAUUUAUUUAUAGUUGACAUUUUUUUACUUUAUCUAGAUUAGAUGUGCCAGGAGUAUUUCUCUAAAAUGUACUAUGCUGCAAGAGGUGCAGCUCCUCCUAGGCUAUCCCAUGCAGUGUUGCUGCUUUCUGGCCCCCGGUGUAGCAGUAUCUCUGGCCGGUGAGAGUUGUAGCAUCGUGCUCUGUGCAUGCUGACAUUGGGUUUUACAGUGUAGGAAGUUAAGGUCAAACAUGACAUGAUGGUCGACGGCUUGCAACAGUCAAAACAGGGAUGCUGGUUUUGUGGUGUGAUGAAUGCAGUUGGAAGGCGGUAGAGGAACGUCUGUUCCAAAGAAAAUAUGGUGGUAUGAAUAUGAGUCGAGAUCGUCCUGGUUCUGAAUUGCCAUAAUAGUGUCUGGAGAUGGAUCUGCUGCUGAGAUGGUAUUCUUUGCGCUUGGUAUUUGGUCGGCAAACCUGUCGGCGUUCUCGCCGCCGGAAAUUUCGCUCUUCUCUGUGAUGUGCCUGCCAAAAUAUUGGGUUUGUGUGGUAGAAAUAUGGUGUUGGUGUCACCAUAUCCAGGUAUUCUUUCUGGAGGGAGGACAUCUGUAUACAAGCAGAUCCAUCUGUUUUCAUUCGCCUAAGUUUUAUCCUGAAGGAAGUUCUAUCUUUUUUUUAGAUGAAGCUAGGAAGUUCUAUCUUUGUUGGACUUAAUGCGAUGUACAAAGCUUUCACAGAUUGGUGUCACGUUCCUAUUUAUCAUUGUUGUCUUAUAC